CCUCGAUUCGAGAUUUACGAGCGAGCGAAGCCUUUCGAAACGCACCGCCAUUUAUUUAUAGUUACGGAGAAUCACUUAUUGCAACCCGUUCGUUCACUUUCUUCUCUCUCUUUCUUUCUCCGUCGGGUUCUUUCUCCCUGGCCUUCUUCAUCGCCCGCACGCGUGAGCGCUUUUAACGCCCGAUGUCGAAGACGACCACCCGCGGUAUUGAAGUGGUACGGGAAUGCGGCUGCGGACAAACAUCAGAUGCAAUUUCGUGCAUCGACAGAAACGCAGCUUCGGAGAACCGGCACGAAAGUGGAUCUACAUGCUCGUAAUUAUGUCAUGUUCGCGCGUAUGUUAAAAUAAUGCAGGAGCUGCAUUACGGUAGCGACAAUGCCGUUUACACCAGUCAACGCUAAUGUCCGACUUUCUGAGAGGUCCCGCGUGGUCUCUUUCUCUUUAUCGGAGACAGCGGACCCUGAGGUAGUAGCCGACGACGAGCAAGUUAUUUGCUUCGCAGAAGUGAUAAACAUAACAUGUUCACGCGCAGGGUAAAAAGGGCCGCUGUAUGCAUGUUGUCUCUCCCAAUUGCCUCUGAUGCCGCAAUCGUUCAACGACACGAAUGAGCUUCUCUGGCCAUUUUGGCCUUCAACAGCAGCCGUAGAUAAAUGAGACAUUCAAUUCGUCAAGUUUUUGUAUGCUCGACGUGUACUGUAUAUUGAAGUGUCUGCGUUGAAAUAUUCAGUAAUUAGAUGCGGAUUGGUGAAGAAAGGACCUUGGUUGAGAAUAUGAUUUCUGAAAGAAAAGCACAAGAAAAUAUUGCUUUGAAAGAUAUUGCUUUUGAUUAAAAUUAUAUUUAAAUAUUUUUCUGGAGUCAACAUAUAAUUACCAUUAUAGUUAAAGAAAUUUAUUUAUGUAUCAGGAAACAUUACUACAGUAAAUAUGAUAAAUUGUUUUAUGCAAGAAUAGUUAGGGACUUCUAUAUUCAACUCAGAUGGAAAUUGAAAGAUUGAUCACAUACACACACACAGAUACAUAAUAAAAUAAAACUUUUUAAUCUAUUUUUGAUGGAAACUAAUAUUACUGAUAACAUUGAGCAGGUGGUAUAAUAUUCUAUGGAAUGUAAAUAAAAAUGGAUGCACAUGUGUGUCAUAUAUACCA